GCCUAGAGCCACGAGACUUUCUCAGUCAUUAACUUCCGGUCCCUCAAUGAGAAGUCUUCAGUUCAACAAACGUCAUCAAACACCUACUGUGUGCUACUCAGGCUCUGGGGAUGCAAAAUUGAGUGAGACAGUCUGAAAACCAAGGGAUCCUUGAAAUGGACAUGUGAACCAAUGGAGGACAACGAAAAACAAGCUGCUUGAGCACCCAGCGGUGUCCAGAUGCCACAGAAUCACUUUUUGCACCAUCAGAACUGACAUCCAGGAAGCCUGUGCUGAGUACGGUACACACACAGCUGGAACCGAUCCCAUGAUGUGCCACUAGCACCAUCCCGUCUGCAGUUGGUUCCAGCAUAUGUGCACUCAGCUGUAUGUUCAUUUGGAUCAGAAGCAGAGAUCUUGCUUCAGGCGUGGUGUGGUCCAGCUCCUGGGGCGCUGGGUCCUCCUGCAUCCAGUCCUGCCCUGCUCUCCUACCCCUAACCUGGGAAGCUCACAUCUGUUCACUUCAUGUUCCAGAGCCACCGUUUCUAGCUGUAGACACCUGGCUUGCGCAUUUAUUUCACCCCCACGCUUCUGACGCCGGCUGAUAGAUAAUAAUGAUAGAAACCCUGCCGGCUGUAAGUGGAGGGGAGAGAAAAAAACCUUCUGUUAAAGUCAGCCCAUUCGUUCUUGACCGCAUGGACAGGUCCGUAAAUUCAUUUUACACCCAAGGACUCGUCGGUAAGUCUCCUUCCGUCACUUUACUAGUCACACUAGGCGCUGUGAUUUGGAGGGAUAAGAGUGACUUUGACGUCCAAGCCCUCUCACCCACUGGCCUGGCUGGACUUUGAGCCACAGUCAAAGAUUUUCCCAAAGUAACUGAAGACCUUCACAGAUUUGCUGAGGAGUUUCAUGCAGUCAUUCAAAUUUAUCAACAUGGUUUCUCUGACUCACAUCAGCUAGUUCAUAUGCUCGUCGGCGAAGGCCAGGCCCAGCACUGGAUGAAACACGAAAUGGGAAAUCCCAGAAGGUCUCUAGAAUUAGACCAACCCACUAACCUGUUAUAAGAUCAGGCUCGGGUUCCUGGGGCUUUUCCAAAGUCUGUUGAUUGGAACAAGAAUCAGACUUGCACACAAAAAUCUGAUCAAUUUGUUCAUGACUAUUAGGAUCAACUUCAGAUUGUUUCUUCAAAAAAUUCUGGUCUUCAGAUAUCGAUUCCCACCCAGAUAGCUUUUAUCUGUGUUUAUCAGUGGGCUGCGGUGGCACCUUUCUCUCCUAGUAAAAAGGACCAGGAUGGAAAGGGGAACUAUGUCCACUCAGAUUUAGCUAAUGCAGCACAGCAGCUCUCUGGCACCUUGGAGAUGAGUCACCUCCAGGGAAGCCCGCCAGUGUCCUUAACCUUCAACCUCAGCAAGUGGAGGCUCCUAAACAAAAUGAGUCCUCCUCGUUCCUGCUGUUAUUGCAAAGAUCCAGAUCAUUCGGAAGGAAACGGUUACACAUUCAAGCACUUCACCUGCCCCCAGUCAUUCUGACAUCCUCCCAGUUCUCAUUGGUGGAGCUUCAAGGAACCGUGGGGCUCUUCCCAGUCCUCCCUCUUGAGCAGCUUGGAGAAACCCUGCUCCAGAUGGAGGAUGAGUCUCUUCCAGUCGCCAGGGACACCAGACCCACACUCUCAGGGCUCAGCCUCACUACUAUAAACAGCCCCUUCCUAGGAGUGCUGAAGCAGUUCGGGUAGUUGUGUGUGUGUGGGGGGGGUCUCUAAUGAACCUCAAGAGGUUCCUGUCUCUGGACCUAUCCCCUUUUGUUUAGACCCUUUGAGAGACACACAUCCUGUCAACCUCGUUCCUCCAACUCCACCCAUUUAUUGGGAGAGACUUCUGAGAGAAGUAUCAUGCCAGAACUUACAUCUCCCAAAGAUGGAAAUAAUUCUAGGAUUUGACAUUAUCAAAGUAACCAGCCAGGUGAAUUAACUGACCCCUCAACAUCUUUUACUUGUUUCAUCUCUGAUGAUUCUAGAGCUGUUUCUAGAAAAUCUAGGAUCAUGUGUCCCUGUUGAACUAGUUACCACCCUUCUUACGGGCAAAAUCUCCAACUGAUGCUGGCAAAAUUCACAGCACACCUGCCAUCAAAAUUCAAAUAGAUGCCUCAAAAACCUCUUCCCAGAAUCAAUCAAUACCCUCUAAGUAAGAAGUCCUUAAAGGCAUAAAGCCCAAAGUAGAUUACAAAGCUCAAGACCCCACUCUCUUGUACUAGCCUCUGUAACACCCACUAGGGACCAAGGGUGGAGGUUUGUCCAGGGCCUCAGGGCAAGAGGCAAAAGGGAAAAAAAGAACUAGGAAUAACUACAAAAGCAAGAAAACAACAAAGUGGCAUAAGUGCAUAUCUAUCAACAGCACUUUAAAAGAGGUGAGACAGCGCACCCAGGAAAGGACCUUCCUGACACUGAAGGACAGGAAGCUGCUGAAACGAGAAAACCUGAGCCUUGGCCAGUGAUGCUUCCAAAGGAAGUUCACGGUCAAAAGGGAGACAUGUAAACAAUUAAUGAACAGAAACGUCAGUUAAACAGAGCAGGGGGACCAGAAGGGGGGAUCUCACAGCCUGGGACAAGAGCAGAGCGCAGCAGGGAGAAGAAGGCCUCCUCCUGGUUCCUGGGAGAGACUCAACCAGUGCAAAGCCAUGAGCUCUGUUUACUCGAACCCUUCCUCCUUCCUCUCCCCUCUAUGAAAGCAUUCUCCCUCUCUUGUCGUGUGGGGACUCACAUGUGGCUCGCCAGGGUUGCAGACCUCAAACUGCGAUUCUUUGUUGAUCCCAAAUAAACCCAUCUUUGCUGGAGAAAUAUCUGGCAGUCCAUUUGUUUCAGGUCAGGUAAUUGGAAACUUCAUCACUUUAUCAUAAAUUUAAAGAAUGUAAUUUUGUGUUUUAGUGAUUGAUUGAAAAAAAAAUGCCCAACCUAAAAGUUGAGACUUAUGUUUUAUUUGGUGGACAUACUGAGGACUUAACCCUGAAAGACAGGCUCCCAGAUCGCUCUGAGAGACUGUUCUGAAGAGGUAAGGAAGGAGCCAGGACAUACAGGAGUUCUUGCCAAAAAAAAUCAGGUAGUCAGAACAUCAGAAGAUUACUGUUAAAGAAAACCAGAUAUCUCAAAUCAAUGAAUUUAGUGCUUUUCUAUUAAUGGGAAUCAAGAACCUGGGCUUAAUGAAAUCUUUCCUGUGAUGGGCAUCUUAACUAUCUAGGGCCAGUAUCCUGUUUUCUCCAUCCUGCGUCCUCUCAGGGACACCACUGUGGGUGGCUGCAGAGGCAGAUGGCUUGACAGCCUUGACAUCCUCUGUUCUGAUAGGGUAGGCGAAUUUCUUGUCCAUAUGACAAAUGAAGAAUGAGUAGAUGGGAAUUUGGUACAUGACAUGUUUGACUUCAGGGAAGCCUUUUGAUUUCUUCGUUAAACAGUUGAAGAUUUGUAUAAUUGUGAUGUGAAACAUGGGAUUUAAGAAAUAAUAUGGAACACCUCACGAAUUUGCAUGUCACCCUUGGGCAGAGGCCACGCUAAUCUUCUCUGUAUCACUCCAGUUUUAGUAUAUGUGCUGCUGAAGCGAGCACAAAACAUGGGAUUGAAAUUCCAAUGUACUGCAAUUACAUUGUGUUAUAACUUAUGUAUAAAUAUUGUUGUCUUUCAUGAAAUGGUUCUAGCAGGAUUCAGACAGCCAAAAAUAAUAUAAACCUGUGGAAAAUUCUCCAUUAGAAAUUCUGGAGAUGGUUUAACAGUAUAAUAUCUGACACAUUUCCCAAUCAUUUAAAAAAAUAAUUCUAUUUAUUUUUAAAUACUCUGAUUAUAUUUUAUAACGUUCCUAAGUGACUUUAGGCAGUUU